UUCUUGCUCCCCUUGCUGUUCGAGUGGCGACCCUCCCUCACAGCAGUGCCCGUUGGAGCUGGGUGGUGCCACUCGUAUCUCUGGCUUGUAACGUGGCAUGGGCUUGGUUUGCGACCCUCGAUGACAACAAGGCCAUCCUAAUGUCCACCAUGUUUGCCGCGGGCUGUGCAGCAAUUCUUACCUGCCUGAUGCUAGUUUGAGGCCUUUCUAGUUUUUACUCUACAAACAUUGUUGUAGAGUUCGCUCGCUCGCUGAGUUUUGUUUUUUUUUACUCUGCUCGACGUGGGGUUCGCGAAAUAAAAUUGUUCUAUCACCA